rnacentral:rRNA from 1 species
CCUACGGGUGGCAGCAGUGAGGAAUAUUGGUCAAUGGGCGAGAGCCUGAACCAGCCAAGUCGCGUGAGGGAGUACUGCCCUAUGGGUUGUAAACCUCUUUUGUCGGGGAGCAAAAGCCGGACGUGUCCGGCUGUGAGAGUACCCGAAGAAAAAGCAUCGGCUAACUCCGUGCCAGCAGCCGCGGUAAUACGGAGGAUGCGAGCGUUAUCCGGAUUUAUUGGGUUUAAAGGGUGCGUAGGCGGGCUUUUAAGUCAGCGGUAAAAAUUCGGGGCUCAACCCCGUCCGGCCGUUGAAACUGGGGGCCUUGAGUGGGCGAGAAGAAGGCGGAAUGCGUGGUGUAGCGGUGAAAUGCAUAGAUAUCACGCAGAACCCCGAUUGCGAAGGCAGCCUUCCGGCGCCCUACUGACGCUGAGGCACGAAAGUGCGGGGAUCGAACAGGAUUAGAUACCCGGGUAGUC